GGCGCUGUGGUGCAGUGGGUAAACACCCUGGCCUGAAGUGCCAGCAUCCCAUACGGGUCCCGGUUCUAGUCCUGGCUGCUCCU
rnacentral:tRNA from 1 species